CGAGGGCUCUGAAUAGAAAGAGGGUUCACAAGUCUCUCGUCGAUACGACGGAACCUUGAGGAGAACCAGCGACAGCGAAAAUGCAAAGACGGCGCGAAGCGAAGCGAGAAAAGAGGGCUGGUACCAGCAGCUGGGAAGAGAGUACAGGCAGUGGAGACGGUGUUCUCGCCUCGGUGCGGUGGCUGGAAACUGCAGGCUGCUGCUGCUGCUGCUGCGUGGGUGAAAACGGGAGGAGACGCGUCAGGGGCGGACGCGUGGGUGGUCCUGGGCCCCGGAUGACUUAAAGAGAAGCUGCGACUAGCCCGGACCGAUCGAUAUCUGCACCGACAUCGCCACCGCGACGACACAUCGUGGGGUUUUCCCGUCUGGAAGUUCUCUUCUCCCGCAGGAUAGAGAGGGAUUCCAACUAUAUCUACCCUGAGAGGAAAGAAAAUUGCUUGAACGGGAAUAUUGCUCGACACCUGGUAUUAACCCGAGGCACGGAAACCUCAUAAAUCCUCGGCAGGGAGGAUGCUCUGAAUCGAAGAAAAGGCGAAGGGGUGAGAGAGAGAACGUUCCAGCGAAUUUCUCUAGCAGACGAGAUACCCGGAGAGAAUUUCGAGCCGACCCGAUGCACAAAACAGCGAUCGAACAGCCUCAACUUUUCCGCAGACAGAUCCAGUUCAUCGGCUAUAGUUCACGACAUGUUUGAAGUUCUUAUGAGUCAGAGCAACAGGAAGGAGAGAUAUACAAAAUAAUUUCGACUGUUGGCAGAAGCUAACUUCUCAAAGGUGGAUGACGGAUGCCUACGUGCAAUGACCACUAUGACAACAAUAUCGCCUCAGAAUGAAACAUUCAACGGAGAGUUCACCGACUCGUUUCUCUGGUUAUCCUCUCGACAGUGGGUUGUUAAGUAGGAGAACUUCCGCGUGAAUAUAUAAUAAAUCACGAAUCGCGAGUGUAGGUAGAAGGAUCGAUACACAGUAGCGCUUGGGCGAUAAUCGAAUAUUCUUAGACUCGAAUACGCACGGGCCAGCAACCUAUUCUCCUCGACCCUGCAACCAACAUGUUCUCGAACAGUGAAUUACAGAUAAACGAAAACUACGAAGCUACGCCACUUUCAUUCACACGUUCAUGGCUGCAUAGUUCUUUGUCUACUGGGUACAUUCUGUGUUCUUCGAAUCAUUAGACAGAUUGAAGAAUGAGUUCUUAAAAUCAUGAUUGUAUCAAAACUCCUUAUGUGAUAAACAAUUGAAUGAGUCAAUUGUGAAAUACCAGACAUAUUUUCAUUUAUAUACAACUCUACUGCGACGUAGAAAGUAAUUUUAUUUUAGAUGCAAACUCAAAAUCUCAUCAACAAGUUAUUGUUUAAUUAUUUGUUACUAUUGAACGAUUGAGAAUUAUGGAGUUUUAGAAAUGUUCAAGAAUUUCAAUGUUCUUGCAGAAAGGUAAUAGGAAUUUUACUAUGUUAAGUUAUUCUUGCCUGACUCGGAUUUUAAUACGGAAAAUGAAGAAUCGUCGCUGGCACGUAUCAAAGGCAACGCGAGCAUCGCGUUUCCCGUGAUAAAUAUACCUAUCCGGGUAGAGGGAGCGUGGGUCCCGCGGGGUACAUGGGAUUUAUUCGUUUCCGCAAUGGGCACGAAGGUAAAACGUCUGCCGGAUGAAUGAAGAGGCUCCGGGCCGUUGCAAAUGGACCGCGACCAGUCCGCUUGCGAGUUUUGUUAACUCAAUCAUGCUCACCGAAAUUAGACCCAUUACACCGACAGGUCGAAUGAUUCAAAAUCCGACGUUCAUGUUUUUUUCAUUUUUAUUACGUCUUUUGACAUCAAAACGAAUGAGACAUUAAAAAUAUUUGAUAAAUCGUAACAAAAUUGUUCAAAUAAUUAAAGAUAUAGACGAUGAUAUGUGUAACUGCAACAUUCUUUAGGAAAACUAUCUAAAUACUUGCACAUGAUAAAGCUGAGGAUUUUAAAUAUGUCCUGAGCUCCUAUAUGAAAUAUUUUUAUCCUUCCUUACAAUUAAAAAUUGUUUCUCAGUCAAUUUUCACUGACUCCCAAAACCUUCCGUGAUUUACAAAAGGAAACAAAAUCUAUUGCGUAAUAAGCGAGAAGAUUAGAUGUACAAAUAGAACGAGAUAUUAAAAGUGUACGGGACGCCCCAAUUGGCACUAUACAUAAAUAAAACGAGUGUCCGACCGAUCGAGCUGCCUCUUUCUAUUCGAUUUCCUCCGCGA